AGCUCUGUUUUUUUUCAGAGCAGGAGUUCGUGAAGUAAGUCCUUAAAAUCACAUCUGUUCACCUUAUGUGACGGGAAGGAGAGGCAACUUCUGAAGCAGGGUGAUUGAAAUGGAAAUACAUUCAAAUAAAUGGACUCUGGAGCUCCACUUUGUUCUAAAUAACCUCUACUGUAACAACAUCCAACUGCUUUCUUCAUAAGAAGACUAGAAAAGUAUAAUGAAAACUAUAUGGAGAAGGAUAAACUUAAAGAAAUGCAAAAUACUACUGUGAAAGUCUGGCUUCUUCAAAACCGGGAUGUGGUCUCUUGGGUCUGUCUUGGUGCUAUUCUGAAACUUGUACUUUGUGGUGCCCCCAGUACAUGGACAGUUUUUCCAGAUAUUUGGCUUUACCAGUAAACAAAUUCUGAUACCAAGGAUCUCAUGUCUAAUAGAAUUCAAGUUUUUCAGAUGCUUCAAAACCAUUAAGUAGUGAAGAAGUGUAUCCUGAAUGCAAUAAUUUCCCAAUGAAAACCACAUGUAUCAGACUGAAUGGAUGCAAGCUGAUCAAAAUACAAUGUUGUGUUUCCCAUAAUCAUGGCGGAUUAUUUGGUUAGUAUUGAAACUUAAACUUUAAUUUUCUUCCAUGACCAAAAGGAAAUUUCAGCCAAAUGUGGCAGAAACUCAGGAGGCUCUGCUUGCCACAGGUGUUUAAUCAUCAGGGAUGCUCUGGGGAAUAGCAUUGAUGACUGGCAGGCCACUG
rnacentral:lncRNA from 1 species